GACUCGCCCUGUAAGAAAUUAGAAAAUGCUACAAUAAAACCCGAAAAAACUGAAAAAUAAUGUGGCAACUUUAAUAAUGAAAGCCCCGAAGCCAUCAACCGUAGUCACACCCGUCCCUUUAGGUGGAAGUCUCCGAAAUCCAGCGAAGUACCACAGAUCAUUCAUGGAAAGCCGCCUUCUAUAUUGAAAAUGCCCCUGCUAGUACAACACAAGAUAUCAGAUGGCAUCGGAGUGAACUUAGGCCUGAGGCGAUAGCUCUACGUGGAUUCAGCUCUAGCACCGUUUUUUCUACAUAAAGAUGAAGUGAGCCCCUGCAUGGAGUGACUCCCCAGGAAGAGAAAACGAGGUAGGACAAAUCUCCAACAUGACUGAUUACUGUCCCCACCAUCUCCCCUGUUCAUAUCUACAACAAUAUCAGGCAUCUUCAUUAAUCCCCAUGGAUCAAUGUGUCUGGGGGUUGUAAAAAUUGACAAAUGACUUAUUAGAAUCCCACCGUUUUAUUUUCCAACUGAUUAACUCACAGCAAUGUCGUACACUA